rnacentral:lncRNA from 1 species
GACAUUCAAAAUCAAAUUGAAACCCUAAAUGUAAAUGCCGUCCACAUGAAUACCCCAAAAUAUUGAAGACAACACCUUUCUAAUGUCCGAUCCCACAGUUAAUCUCAGGCUUCUUUUGGGUUGUAACACCCCCAAUCGGACUCGAGACAUGUCUAGGGCACGGGAUUGUGGUUGCAGGCUUCACAUUCGUCACAAUAGGGUUUGAAUUGACGAUGGAUUCUCUAACUCACAUAUUGUUGCUGUUGUUUGUUUUUUAAGCACAUGGUGAAGGUCAUAGAACUAAUUGAUAACCUGGAAGUUACAAGACAUGUGCCCUACAUUGGUGGGUUCGGAUGGAUAUCCUUUUCAGGGGAAAUUUAUCUUCAGCUUAAAUUUGGAGAAGAUGCUGUUAAGUGAUGAAAAGCAAUGUGCGGAACACAUCAUGCUGGUUGACUUAGGGAGGAAUGAUGUCGGAAAGGUAACGAAACCUGGUUAAGUUAAUGUGGAAAAGCAUAUGACCGUUGAACGGUACUCCCAUGUGAUGCAUAUUAGUUCCACCAUUUAACCAUCAAAUUGUACAAAAGUGCCCUUCUGAUGCUAGAGCAUUCAAAAAGUAUGAAUUUAGAUGACAGAAUAUUGGAGAAGACUUUGAUAGACCUGGCGGAGUUGCUUCAUCUUGUAGGAUGGUAUGAUGUAUAUGUCCUAGAUUUUUCACACUUACGGGUCAAUAUUCAGGUUGUAAUUUAUUGAUAACGGGUCAAGCAUGUCAUAUGUAGAAAAGUAGAUGAUAAUGAAACGGGUCAACAAUUUGGAUGAGUGUAAAAUGGGCUGAAAGUUACCAAACUUGUAUUUAAAUGAUUACAGUCUUUUAAAUCAUCUUAUUUAAAAGAGUU